rnacentral:rRNA from 1 species
CCCUUAGAUGUUCUGGGCUGCACGCGCGCUACACUGAUGCGCUCAACGAGUUUACGACCUUGCCCGGAAGGGUUGGGUAAUCUUUUUAAAACGCAUCGUGAUGGGGAUAGAUUAUUGCAAUUAUUAAUCUUUAACGAGGAAUUCCUAGUAAACGCAAGUCAUCAGCUUGCAUUGAUUACGUCCCUGCCCUUUGUACACACCGCCCGUCGCACCUACCGAUUGAAUGGUCCGGUGAAAUCUUGGGAUUUUGUUUUGUUUGCAUUUAUUUGUAUCGAGACGAGAGAACUUGAGUAAACCUUACCAUUUAGAGGAAGGUGAAGUCGUAACA